GUGGAUUAGAUACCCUGGUAGUCCACACCAUAAACGAUGGUCACUAGUUGUCGGGGGAUUCGACCCCCUCGGCAACGACGCUAACGCAUUAAGUGACCCACCUGGGGAGUACGCUCGCAAGGGUGAAACUCAAAGGAAUUGACGGGGGCCCGCACAAGCGGUGGAGCAUGUGGUUUAAUUCGAUGCAACGCGAAGAACCUUACCUGGGCUCGAAGUGCUCUGUAAACUCAUGAAAGUGGGGUAUCCCUUCGGGGAGCGGAGCAUAGGUGCUGCACGGCUGUCGCCAACU
rnacentral:rRNA from 1 species